GCAUCCAAAAUUAUCAUUCUUGUCCUCCACAUUUUUAAAUUUUCAGAAUCGCUUCCUGCAAGAGCACAAACUUUAAUCAGAGCUGGUUACUGGGAUUCAGACGAUGGGUUCCCUGUUUCAGAUGUAAAUUCUGCUCUCUUCACUCACCUGAUGUGUGGUUUUGCUGGUGUCAACUCAACUUCCUAUGAGCUUUCUUUAUUACCUUCGGAUGAAAAACAAUUCUCCAACUUCACAGACACAGUCAAAAUAAAGAACCCAUCAAUCACUACACUUCUUUCCAUCGGAGCAGGAAAUUAUCCAAACUAUUCAACUUAUUCUUCCAUGGCGGGCAAUCCUUCUUCCAGGAAAUCCUUUAUUGACUCCUCAAUAAAAAUAGCAAGGCUCUAUGGCUUUCAAGGCUUAGAUCUGUCUUGGUAUUUAGCAAACACAAGCUGGGAUAAGUACAAUAUUGGCAUUCUCUUUAAAGAAUGGCGAGCUGCCGUAGCUUUAGAAGCAAAAAAUAACUCGAGCCAAUCACAGUUGAUUUUGACGGCAACGGUUGCAUAUUCACCAUACUCAACAGCAGCAGCUUAUCCAGUCGACUCGAUAAGACAGUACUUGAAUUGGGUCCAUGUUUUCACUACUGAUUACUCAGUCCCUACGUGGACAAAUUUUACUGGUGCUCAUGCGGCUCUGUAUGAUCCAAAUAGUGUCUCUAAUACUGAAUACGGAAUCACGAAAUGGAUUGAGGAAGGGUUAUCGGCUGAUAAAUUGGUUUUGUGUUUGCCUUUCUAUGGCUAUGCAUGGACGCUUGUGAAACCUGAGGACAAUGGUAUUGGUGCAGCAGCAACGGGACCAGCUUUGAGUGAAGAUGGUCUUGUGAGUUAUAAGGAAAUCAAGAAUCACAUCAAGAGCUAUGGUCCUAAUGUCCAAGUUAUGUACAAUUCAACUUAUGUGGUGAAUUACUGCUCGAUUGGGAAGAUUUGGUUUGGUUUUGAUGAUGUGGAGGCCAUUAGAGUGAAGGUUGCAUAUGCCAAGGAGAAGAAGCUACGUGGUUACCAUGUGUGGCUAGUUUCCUAUGAUCAAUAUUGGAUGCUUUCUCAAGCUGCAGGUGUUUAUAUAUGCAAUAAUUGUUCUGUCUAAUAAAUAUUGAUUUUUAUGGCAUCUCUUGCUAGUUAGUAAUAAUAGUUAGUAAUAAUUGGUGAAUUAUUAUUUCCAGCACAAAAAGACAGCAUUACUUCUGCUUCAGCUGAUAAAGAUGAACAUAGUAACAACCGGCGUCUGUCCUUUGCACUCAUUUCCACUGCAGCGGCAGCUUUGACUCUCCUUCUAGGCUGUUGUGCAUAUAAAUACAACCAGAUGAAAAGGCUCAAGUUAAUAGAAGGUAACAAGCUUCAGCUAUCAAUUAUCAUUAAGCACACACACACACAUAUAUAACUGAGGCUGACAUACAAUUAAUUAUCUAAUAUUUACUUGGUUGAUGUUAGGAACAGAGGAUUCUGCUAAAGCAUCAAACACGAGAGCAAAUAAUGAAACAGAAGCUGGAGACUUUAACAGAAAUGUUCCUAAUCUCAGAGUAUAUAGUUUGGCUGAUAUUGAGGCGGCCACCGAGGGAUUUUCAAUUAGAAAUAAGCUUGGGGAGGGUGGAUAUGGUCCUGUUUACAAGGUAACAUGUGUGUGUGUGUGUGUGUGUGUGUGUGUACCUAUAUUUUAAUUUGUUACAAUCCACAAUGCUGCAAUUUGGAUCCUAUCGGAAGUUUGAAUUUGUACACUCGUCGUAGAAUUCAGAGGCCCAAAACAUAUAAUUUAAAAAUCUAUGCCUAUUAGAGAUAAGACCUCUAACCUCACACUAGAGGGAUAUAACUACUUCGACUAACAUUUUAGGAAGAUACCUCUACCCAUAUCCAUAUUCUGUGAGAGGAGAUUUACAUUUUGCGUCGAUGGAGACUUAAAGGACUUAAAAUGGUGCCCUCAACUUUUGGGGGUAACAUAUUGUUUGGCUAACAUUUCUCAGCUUCUCUAAUUAGUGAAAGCUUUAUAUGAACGUGGUUUUUUUUUUGGGUUGCAGGGUGUAUUACCCUGUGGAGAGGUGAUAGCAGUGAAGAAACUUUCGAAAUCAUCCGCACAGGGAUUUGAGGAGUUUAAGAACGAGGUUAUGCUUACUGCAAAACUCCAACAUGUAAAUCUUAUUAGAGUUUUAGGUUUUUGCAUUGACAGUGAGGAACGAAUGCUGGUCUACGAAUACAUGCCAAACAAAAGCUUGGAUUGCUACCUUUUUGGUUUGUUCUGAAAUCAAGUUAAUAUCAAUUGUGUAUAUAAUUCAUUUGUAUAUCACUUAUUGCCCAAAACUUUAUAUUUGUUGUAGAUCCCAUCAGAAGACUUCUUUUGGAUUGGAAUAAACGUGUUCAUAUCAUUGAAGGGAUAACUCAAGGGCUUUUAUAGCUCCAAGAAUACUCAAGAUUGACUAUUAUUCAUCGAGACUUGAAAGCCAAUAAUAUUUUGUUAGGUCAAGAUAUGAAACCUAAAAUUUCAGAUUUUGGUAUGGCUAGAAUUUUUACAAAAGAGAGUCUCGAAGCGAAUACAGAACAAGUUGUGGGAACAAUGUAAGUAUAUUACAUCUAAAUGAUAUCCUUUACUCAAGCUUCUGUUUGUUAUACAUAUAUUGGGUUUCGAAUAAGGAAUCCAGCUCUUUAAUAAAAUGCAGGAUGGACUUUUAUCACAAGGUAAAAUGGGUUUUACAAAUUUAUUAAAUUGCAAAAUCCCUUACUUAUAUAUACUUACUUAUUUUUGGUUAUUUUGAAUGCAGAGGCUAUAUUUCUCCUGAAUACGCCAGAGGAUAGAAAUUCCCCUUGUAAAUUAAUGAGAUGUCUGGAAAUAGCUUUGUUGUGUGUCCAGGAGAAUCCAAACGAUAGACCUUCAAUGCUGGAAGUUUCCUCAAUGCUCAAGAAUGAAACCACAAAUACAAAUACUCCCAGGAAGCCUGCUUUCUCAAAACAAGUUGAUGAAAUUGGGAUUGAACUAUUAUCUACAACACAAUUGGAAAAAUGUUCGGCUUGUGAUUUAUCAUUUUCGGAAGUGGUAGCUAGAUGAUUGUUAAUGUACACUAAUUAUGGAGCCACUUUUACAACCCUGUACAUAGUUUUUAUUUCAUCAUAAAAAUGCACCCUCGUUUAGUGUAAUUAAGUGUACACUUUGUUUUUAAACCCUUGUGCAUGCAAUCCUAAAAAUCUUGUAGCAGUCGAAAUCAAUCUCUCUUAAUCCUGUAUAUUAUGUGCUAUCAAUAUUAAUAUUAAACUGUUAAAAACGCAGGUCUCACAAAAAAUUAUAAAAAAUUUAGUACAAUUCAAUUCAACACUGAAUUUUAAAAUUUUACGUAUGUAGAAUGUAUACAUAAUAAAUUCACUUUAAUUAAUUAAGUAAAAUGAAAAACGAUUGUAAAUUAAUAGAAUUAAACAAAUUCUAGAUAGGAAAUGAUUUUUAAGAAACAUUAUUUAACUGACCAUUAAUUUGAGUUUGGAUUUUGGAGGAGUCAAAGGGCUAAAAAAUGAAUUUGCACUUUACCAACUCCAUACAUUUUAAGAAAGUAUAUUGAAAAAAAAAUUAUUUGUUCAAUAAUUAUUUGAUUUUCUCAUUAAAGUAAAAUAUAUGCUACAAAUUUGGUGAAGCCGAAUCCCACCAAGUAUACGAGAGUGGUACUAGAUCGGCAAUCGUACUCGCGCCAUUUGUUUCUAAGUAAAUAUUGAGUAAAACGUAUGUUUGUAUAGACUUUUAUGAUAAAAUGGAAGGGUGGACUGGACUGGAAAUUAAAUUACACAAGGAAAAGGUAUGUGGAUCUUUUUUUUAAAAAAAAAAUUACAAUAUUAUUGAAUCUUACCAUCAGGAAGUAACUAAGUGUAUUUCUUAAUGACCAUCACUUUAUUAAGUUGAUGGCUUAAUUAAGGCAACACUCAAUUCAAUGACAAGCUGUAAUUUAAAAAAGUGAGGUCAACUCGAUAUUUUAUAUAGUAUGUCAUGAGUGAGGAGGAGUUUAAGCUAGAAAUCGAGUUCAUGAGUGAGGGCGGGUUUGAUUUUCGCAAGAUUUUGCGUUUUGUGCACGUUGAUCAUGGACUGAAUCAACUUAGAAAAUAUUUUCACAAGAUUUUGCCUUCCAAUUGCAUGGAUGGAGUCAUAGAGGAAUAAUGACUUCGCUUCAAAAACUCGUCGAGGACUCCGAGUUCAUUUAAAUACCAACAAAGUCAAUACAAAAGAACGAGUCUCCAACUUCAGAAGUCAAGCUAAGCGGAGGUAAAAAGUCAUAGCUUAAUUUAAGAACUUCAAUCUUAUCACUUAUUAUCGUGAAAAAAAGACAAAGCUAAUAGAUCGACUUGGUCGUGAUAAAGCGAUAGAACAAGUAUGUCACAUUGGCUAAGAUUAAUUAUUAAGUUAGGUUGGAAGGUAUUAUAGGGUCCCUCAUUCAGAACUUGAAUUUGAUAUCGUAUAAAAACUUGUGGACUAAGCUCAUAAGUUGAAAGUUGACUCAAGUUUGCAUUAUUAGUGCAAUAACUAAUCUCAAUCGGUAUAGGAUAAUUUCUCCAUUACAUUUUGUGUGUGUGUACAAAUAUAUAAUCACAUACUAGGUAUGCCUCAAGCAGCCAGGUUCCCACAAUGGCAUCCAAAAUUAUCAUUCUUGUCCUCCACAUUUUUAAAUUUUCAGAAUCGCUUCCUGCAAGAGCACAAACUUUAAUCAGAGCUGGUUACUGGGAUUCAGGCGGUGGGUUCCCUGUAUCAGAUGUAAAUUCUGCUCUCUUCACUCACCUUAUGUGUGGUUUUGCUGAUGUCAACUCAACUUCCUACGAGCUCUCUUUAUCACCUUCGGAUGAAAAACAAUUCUCCAACUUCACGCACACAGUCAAAAUAAAGAACCCAUCAAUCACUACACUUCUCUCCAU
rnacentral:lncRNA from 1 species